rnacentral:lncRNA from 1 species
GGGACCGUUGUCCGGUUAAUUUAAUCGUUUCAAUGUUAAAUUACAAUAAUUCAUACUAAUAUUAGGUUAUACAAAAGAUUCACCGGGUUUUCUCCUACAAUAUCCUUCAUUUUUAUCCAAAAUAUAGAAUGGCAUCGUAAUAAUGUCUCCUCAGAUAAACUGUACCACCAUCUGAUCUGACAUGUAUAAUAUAGUUAGGCAUAGCAUGUAAACAGUAAAAAAGAAACUUGAAGUCUCUCACAGACAAGAAAGAACUCUACAACAGGUCAUCUAUAACCAAGAAGCAUCAUCCUGGCCAGAUAUAGUCUCAUAUUCAAAUUGUUCUUGAACACUUAGAAGAGUAACUAUAACUAUACUGAGGUCGAUUGUAUGUGGAUGUUUUUUUCAACCAAUAAAGACACACGAAAUAUUUCAGUUUUUCCCGGAAAUAGUGACUCAUCAGUAGUAAAAUAAAGAAAUUUGCGGUACAAGCAAUAUAAACAAAUAAAUUACAUAUAAUGGCCGAUGUAAAUCGGGCUUUGGAGUCAAGAGCUGAGUCAUAUGCAUGUGGUUCUAAAAUUAUCCAGGUGAAGAAAAAUGCAUUCGGAAGUUCGGUUAGCAAGAAAAAGACAGUGAUGACUAUGAUGAGUUUCGAUGCUCUAGACAUAUGUUUUUGCUCCCUUCUUUCUUUCAUAUGCUGAUCAAAAUGAAGUUGUUGAAUAUUACGGUUAUUUAUUCUCAGUUCGAUGAUAAGAAGUACUGUUGUUACUAGCAAUAUUAAGCAAGGUACGGUUGUCCCAAGAAUGUUUCUCAGCCAGUUAUAAAGUUUAUUGAACUCGAAAUCAAAGGGUUCGUAUGUGCAUUCGCACACAUCCACAGCAAUGAUGCUGUUACCCAUGCUCGAGUUUACUUCCGAUGUGUCUAAAUGAGGUAGAUCAGUAGAAGAGAUAUUAAAUCUUGCUGGAC